rnacentral:rRNA from 1 species
UACAGAGGUCUCAAGCGUUGUUCGGAUUCAUUGGGCGUAAAGAGCUCGUAGGCGGUUCGGCAAGUCACGUGUGAAAUCUCCACGCUUAACGUGGAGGCGCCACGUGAAACUGCCGUGACUCGGAGUCCGGUAGGGGAGUGUGGAAUUCCCGGUGUAGCGGUGAAUGCGCAGAUAUCGGGAGGAACACCAGUAGCGAAGGCGGCACUCUGGGCCGGUACUGACGCUGAGGAGCGAAAGCGUGGGGGAGCGAACAGGG